rnacentral:tRNA from 1 species
GGGCUCAUAGCUCAGCUGGUCAGAGCACCUGACUCAUAAUCAGGUCCUUGGUUCAAGCCCAAGUGGGCCCA